rnacentral:tRNA from 1 species
AGUUAAUUAAGCUUUAGAUAAGCAUGUACUUUGAAAGCACAAGACAGAGGUUUAAUUCCUCUAUUAACUU